UUUACUCUGCUUAUUGAAUAAAUUUUUAACAGUAAGUAUUGUAUUUCUGAAUAAAUAUUUUAUAGCAGUGUUUACGUACAGUUCUUUUCAGAUUAACCAUAAAUACUAAUCUCGAUACCAUUUAAAUGUGUUCAAGUUUUAGUUUUUUGAAUUUUGAUAACACAAAUAUGAUAAUUAAUGCUAAGAUAAUUACACAGAAAAUUAUUUUCAUAUUAUUAUUAGUUGUGGAGUGAAACAUUUGUAUUUGGGUAAUUAUUAUUAUAAUUUUUCUUCUUUUAAUCUCAUUUUAGGCUUGUGGGUUAUGCAGGGUUGUGCAACUAUUUUAUAAUGCUUUAACAGAACCAAAAUUUAUAGCUAAGUUUAGAUUUUUUAAAUUAAUAAGAAGUAAUAUGUCGAAUAUUUUACAAACGAAUAUCAAGUCGGUUAGAACCUAAUGCUCAUGCAAAUAAAGCUGCCAUGGCAACCCUUUGAAUCUGAUAGUUAUUCACUCUGAGCAAUAUAGUAUAACAUUUUAAAUCAAAUUAACUGCGGAAAUGAAUUUCAAUAAACUGGUUGCUUUGCUUAUAUUUUGACAAACAAUAAAGCAUAGAGUCUUCAACAAAAACUCAAGUAAAGAUCAUAUUGCAAAUAUUGAAAAGGCCUCUCCAUUGGUAAAUAAAUGUCAAACAAUAUGUAUAGAGAAUGCAAGCAAUUGUUAAGCAGUUCUUUUUAUAUAUUUAUAGUAUAUACCUGUAAUCUUCUUGUAUAUUCACAUUUUUAGUAUUAAUUUGUAUAUUUAUUUAGUUAUGUUUUAGUUAACAUAAUCUAUUUAACUUAAUAAUUUAAUGUUAAACUAAUGAACUGAAAAAAAAAGUACAAUUGACAUUAUUUUGCAAACUAAAGUUUAACGUUUACAUUUUGUUGUUAAAAAACCUGUUAUACCUAAUUUUUAUUUUCAGGUUUUAUUUUAAGCUAUUUUUUAUUUUAGUCUAAAUAACCAUAGCUAAUAAACGCCAGCAAAUGCUCUUACUGUUUUUCCAAAAAUUGUUUUUAGCUUAUUUUCUAGCACAAUUAUGACUAUUAAUUAUUACUAUUUAAUAAGACUUUAACUUUAAGAUUUUAAUUAUAAUACAAACAUUCAACUGUAUGAUUUUAAUUAUGACAAUUAUAUACAAACAUUCAACUAUAUGAGAUUAAUGAGCUAGCAAGUAAAAAAACUUACAUACAACAAAUGUAGUUUGAUGAGAGGAUAAGAAUAUUAACUCUUUAAAGUUUAGGAAAUAUAAGAAUAUUACCUUUUCUAAAUAAGUUUUAUCCUGUUUUUUUAUUGAUAAAAAUUAAUUUUUCUUCUUCUUCUUAUUUUUCAUUGUAUUUAGUUUUUAUUAUUAUCUUGUUAUUGUUAAAACUACUAAAAUUUAUGUUUAUUUCAGAAUAAUAAAAAUGAAUAAACAAGAGAAAAAUCAAUACUUGAGGGAAUGGCGCCAAAGUAAUUGAGUCUUAAACAAUAUACUUGUAAAUAAAGAAAUUGACUCACAUCACAUGUCGACUCUAUUAAUAAUAUUAAUAGAGUCAAGAGUUGAAUUGAUUUCAAAAACAUUGAAAUUAAGAACUAUAGUGACUUUUAUUUUGUCUCUGAUCAUAAAUAUACUUCUGGAACUGAGAGUUCUAUUCUAGACUCUGAGGUUCCUGUGAGUGAUGAUAAUGAAGAUCUUCAUGACGUACUUGUUACAUAACGUACGAGUACUUGUUACAGAGAUUGCCAAAUGGAUUUUAAAACACAGAAUAGCUAGAAAUGCAAGUGACGAAUUGUUAACCAUUUACACCAGUAUAGUUAUAAUGUUGAUUUACCAAAAUGUACAAGGAAAAUUUUAAAUACUCCUAGGAAUAUUCCAAGCAAGUUAAAAUGUGGGGGUAAAUAUGUUUACCUUGGUAUUUCAAAUGACAAAUCAAGAACUUUAGCAAUCAACCAGCAUUACAGAUUUGAGUCAAAUAUGAUUUCUUUAGUUGUCAAUGUAGAUAGCAUUCCCUUAUUAAAGUCAUCAAACACACAGGUUCGGCCUAUAUUAUGUAUGUUUGACAAAGUGACACCAUUUACUGUAGCAUUAUUUGUUAGUGAUAUCAUGCCAAAUAAUUGUGACGAUUUUUAAUAUGAUUUUUUGCAUGAGUAUGAGUUAUUAUUUGCAAAUGGUUUUAGUAUUAUAUAUAUAACUUCAAUUAAUUCUUGAGAAAAGGUGUUGCUAAUGUGCCAAUAAAAAGUCAGAAAGUGUAAGCAUAACCAUUUUUAAAAAAAUAGAGUCCCUUAAAGAAUUUUAUGAGCUUGAAACCAGAUUAAAAGACAACGGGGAGAACAGUAAGUUGGUAAUUUAUGUUUAUAAUUUCUAUUUUUAAAGUUUGUCUGUUAAUAGAAUGCUAUUUAAGUUCAUCGUUUUCUUGAUGAGCCUAUUUAAAUCAUUCUUACAUUUUACCACAAUAUGGUGUAAAAAGUAAAUUCCUACUUAUAAAUCGAGAAUUAACUUAGUGACCUGAUAACCAUUUACAUUCUGUAGAGUUUUUUACAGUCUUGUAUUUUUGUUAAACUAUUUUAUCUUAUAUUUGGUUGAGCAAUUAUUAUUUCGUUGCUUUGAUAGAAUAACUGUGAAAAACAACCAAAUAAAUCUAAUCCUGUGUUAUUCCAACAUGAAAUUUUCUCUAAACUUUUAUUUAUGUUUUAGCUUUGUCACCUCAUAAAAGCAGGUGGAAAAAUGUUAAAGAAAAUACAAAAAGUGUCAUGGUCAGAAUUAUGGAGCAUCAUGUUAAGCCCAAGUUCAAUAUGAAAAGCAAAAUUCGUCGUGAUAUAAAGAAGGUAUCAUUCGAAAAUAAAAAGUUGUGUAAAGCAAUAAUUUUGAAGUCAUCCAGCUAACGCACGAGAGUUCGACGGAAGCAAACAAAAGAUCAAAUAGGAAGCAUUUUAAAGUUCUCUCCAUUAAACAAUUAUUUAUUUUUGAGUUUUUUUGUAAAUUUAUAAUACAAAAGAAUAUAUAAUACAUCUUUAAAAAAAUCUUU
rnacentral:lncRNA from 1 species